UACAGAGGGGGCAAGCGUUGUUCGGAAUUACUGGGCGUAAAGGGCGCGUAGGCGGCCUUCUAAGUCGAACGUGAAAUCCCCGGGCUCAACCCGGGAACUGCGUCCGAUACUGGAAGGCUUGAAUCCGGGAGAGGGAUGCGGAAUUCCGGGUGGAGCGGUGAAAUGCGUAGAGAUCCGGAGGAACACCGAAGGCGAAGGCAGUCUCCUGGCAAGUUACUGACGCUCAGGUGCGAAAGCUAGGGGAGCGAACAGG
rnacentral:rRNA from 1 species